UACGUAGGGUGCAAGCGUUGUUCGGAAUUACUGGGCGUAAAGGGCGCGUAGGCGGCACAGCAAGUCGGGAGUGAAAGCCCGGGGCUCAACCCCGGAAUGGCUUUCGAAACUGCUGAGCUAGAGUACAGAAGGGGCAACCGGAAUUCCCAGUGUAGCGGUGAAAUGCGUAGAUAUUGGGAAGAACACCUGAGGCGAAGGCGGGUUGCUGGGCUGAUACUGACGCUGAGGCGCGAAAGCCAGGGGAGCAAACGGG
rnacentral:rRNA from 1 species